ACGAAAACGAAAGUAGGCCUAGUAGGAAGACUACGAGGGCAAGUCGCGCAUCAAUUGUCAUCAAUUGUAUGUCGAAAUGAACCCAGAUCUGAUUGGUCCACACAGCUGCUAAAAGAUGGAUCUCCCUCAAGAGGGUGAGGAUGUUGCCAGCGAUGUUGUCAGUGCAAAUCAGACAGGCAGAGUAGCAUGUGCUGUAUCCAGCUACGUGUCCAUGAAUAAUGAGUCCGUUACUCAUGGACAUCAGGGGGUCAGCAAAGGACAAAGGCUAAGCGUACACAGUGCAGGACCACAGACACACAGACCAGUGUCUCCAGUGCCCAGCUGUGUGUCUAUGAAGAGUGAUUGGUCCAUGGAACACCCACUAUAUUUCAGGAGUGGACCACCACCGUCUGAUCCAAA